UACGUAGGGGGCAAGCGUUAAUCGGAAUUACUGGGCGUAAAGCGUGCGCAGGCGGUUAUGUAAGACAGUUGUGAAAUCCCCGGGCUCAACCUGGGAAUUGCGUUGGAGACUGCAAGGCUAGAAUCUGGCAGAGGGGGGUAGAAUUCCACGUGUAGCAGUGAAAUGCGUAGAGAUGUGGAGGAACACCGAUGGCGAAGGCAGCCCCCUGGGUCAAGAUUGACGCUCAUGCACGAAAGCGUGGGGAGCAAACAGG
rnacentral:rRNA from 1 species